AGCUCACGUGACAUUUUGGUCACUUUUCCUAUGUGAAAGAAUUUGCUGUUUAUAUGUUACGAAAACAAUGUCAUUUAGUGCUGCUAAGGUUUAUGGUAGCGUAAAAAAUUCACUAAUUUAAUUUAUGGGAUAUAAUUAAACCAAAUCAUUUUAUUUCACAUAAAUUUGAUGAUCCUUCAUAUAUCAGUUUUAUUAGAUAACUACUAUGGAUUGUACAGUCAAACAUGCCAAUUUGGAUUAAGUUUGUGCAGUUUUUGUCUGGCAUCUUUUGGUAUUAAAAUCAAGUUUACUGACAAUUUUGCAUCUAGCAGGAAGAAUUAAAAUCUGUUGAGGGCCUUCAACCCAAGAUGCUGCAAAGAGAUUGCUGAUUAUGUGAUGGCAAACGCAGAUCCCCUUGUUACCUUCAACCAAGAAGAACCGCCGGUCGUGUCGCUUCUGGAAGUGGCUCUGAUGAGGCAUGUUGAAGAUGAUUCAACAAUAAUGUGGGCAAUAGAACCUGAUUCUAGUGCAAUAGCAAAGAAUGCAAAGUUUUGCGGAGAUGAAGUUGAAAUGGUUGUCCCCAUUUGAAAGGACCAACUUAGUAGAGAUACUCUGACAAGAAGGCCUAUGGACAGUCCAAGUUAGCCAACAUAUUACACACCAACGAGCUUUUUUGUCGCUUAAAAUUCCUAGGAACUUCAGAUUGCUGGAGGAGCUUCAACAUGGUGAAAAAGGAAUUGGAGAUGACACAGGUAGCUAUGGAAUGGAUGAUGGUGAUGACAUUUACAUGCACUCUUGGACUGGCACCAUUAUUGGCCCCCAUAAUGUAAAUAUU